rnacentral:rRNA from 1 species
GAUUUAAUGAGGAGAAUUUAAUUUUUGAGUUAAAAAGCUUAAAUUUAUUUGUGGGACGAGAAGACCCUAUAGAUCUUUAUAGUUUUAUAUUUUAAUAAUUUGGUGAUUUAUUUGUUUUAAGUAGAUGAACUAUUUUGUUGGGGUGACUGUAGAAUUUAAAUAACUUCUAUUAUUUUAUUUCAUUAAUUAAUGUUUUUGUGAUCCAUAUUUUAUGAUUAUAAGAUUAAGUUACCUUACGGAUAACAGCGUCAUUUCCUCGGAGACUUCAUAUUGAUGAGGGA